rnacentral:rRNA from 1 species
CCCUGUCUUUAGUUGCCAUCAUUAAGUUGGGGACUCUAGAGAGACUGCCGGUGAUAAGCCGGAGGAAGGUGGGGAUGACGUCAAGUCCUCAUGGCCCUUACGGGAUGGGCUACACACGUGCUACAAUGGCAGUGACAAUGGGUUAAUCCCCAAAAACUGUCUCAGUUCGGAUUGGGGUCUGCAACUCGACCCCAUGAAGUCGGAAUCGCUAGUAAUCGCGUAACAGCAUGACGCGGUGAAUACGUUCCCGGGCCUUGUACACACCGCCCGUCACACCAUGGGAAUUGGUUUUACCCGAAGACUGUGUGCCAACCUUCGGGAGGCAGCAGGCCACGGUAAGAUCAGUGACUGGGGUGAAGUCGUAACAAGGUAGCCGUAGGGGAACCUGCGGCUGGAUCACCUCCUUU